CCUACGAGAGGCAGCAGUGGGGAAUAUUGGGCAAUGGGCGCAAGCCUGACCCAGCAACGCCGCGUGAAGGAAGAAGGCUUUCGGGUUGUAAACUUCUUUUAAGAGGGAAGAGCAGAAGACGGUACCUCUUGAAUAAGCCACGGCUAACUACGUGCCAGCAGCCGCGGUCAUAAGUCGUUGGCAAGCGUUGUCCGGAUUUACUGGGUGUAAAGGGCGUGCAGCCGGGAAGACAAGUCAGAUGUGAAAUCCCGCGGCUCAACCGCGGAACUGCAUUUGAAAAUGUUGUUCUUGAGUACCGGAGAGGUCAUCGGAAUUCCUUGUGUAGCGGUGAAAUGCGUAGAUAUAAGGAAGAACACCAGUGGCGAAGGCGGAUGACUGGACGGCAACUGACGGUGAGGCGCGAAAGCGUGGGGAGCAAACAGGAGUAGAUACCCGAGUAGUC
rnacentral:rRNA from 1 species